rnacentral:rRNA from 1 species
CGAAGGGGGCUAGCGUUGUUCGGAAUUACUGGGCGUAAAGCGAGUGUAGGCGGUCGUCGUAGUCAGGUGUGAAAGCCUUGAGCUCAACUCAAGAAAUGCACUUGAUACCGGAUGACUAGAGUGCCGGAGAGGAUAGUGGAAUUCCCAGUGUAGUGGUGAAAUACGUAGAGAUUGGGAAGAACACCAGUGGCGAAGGCGGCUAUCUGGACGGUUACUGACGCUAAGACUCGAAAGCGUGGGGAGCAAACAGGAUUAGAUACCCUGGUAGUCCACGCCGUAAACGAUGGGUGCUAGACGUUGGCGAGCUUGCUCGUCAGUGUCGCAGCUAACGCGUUAAGCACCCCGCCUGGGGAGUACGGCCGCAAGGUUG